rnacentral:rRNA from 1 species
GACGAACCGUGCGAACGUUGUUCGGAAUCACUGGGCUUAAAGGGCGCGUAGGCGGGCUGUCCAGUCUGGGGUGAAAUCCCGCGGCUCAACCGUGGAACUGCCUCAGAUACUGACGGCCUCGAGGGAGAUAGGGGCAUGCGGAACUGUAGGUGGAGCGGUGAAAUGCGUUGAUAUCUACAGGAACUCCGGUGGCGAAGGCGGCGUGCUGGAUCUCUUCUGACGCUGAGGCGGCGAAAGCUAGGGGAGCAAACGGG